UCGUUCCAAGGCGCAGGUGUACAUCUGUUAUGGAUCACAGGCCCGGUCUAGGAGAGCACUUGACAUCGCUAGAACUACUCAUGUGCUUAAGAGCUGGAAUAUCAUGCAUCCUGUGAAGAUCACAACAGCUGCUCAGUCCCAAGACUCAAGGAUGCAGAGAGCCGGCUCUGUCAAAGCGCAGGAG